UACAGAGGUGGCAAGCGUUGUUCGGAAUCACUGGGCUUAAAGGGCGCGUAGGCGGCUUGCCAAGUCAGGGGUGAAAUCCUGCAGCUUAACUGUAGAAGGGCCUUUGAUACUGGCGAGCUCGAGGGAGGUAGGGGUAUGUGGAACUUCCGGUGGAGCGGUGAAAUGCGUUGAUAUCGGAAGGAACGCCGGUGGCGAAAGCGACGUACUGGACCUCUUCUGACGCUGAGGCGCGAAAGCUAGGGGAGCAAACGGG
rnacentral:rRNA from 1 species